rnacentral:ncRNA from 1 species
AUUCCGGGAGAGACCGCAAGGCGCCGAAGGAGAAAAAACUCUCAGGCAAAAGGACCGGAA